ensembl:lncRNA
CUGUACUGUGUGUUAGUGUGUCUCUCUGUACUGCCUUAAUGGUGUAGGUCGACAAAUGGGGGUGGUCGGGGUUGUGGACGCCCGUGCACUGAAGGCCGGGUGCGGGGAGGUUUGUCUUCUUAACUUUUUUAGUAACUGGGAUAAUUCUUCUAGCAGGGGGAGAUCAAGAGUCGGGGUUGGAUUGGUAUUGAUGCUGUCCAGUAGGGGGCGGUGUAGUUGGGGAAGGGUAAGGUUGGAGUUGUCCAGCAGGGGGCAGUCUAGUUGGGGAAGGGGAAGGUUGGAGUGGUCCAGCAGGGGGCGCUGUAGUUGGGGAAGGGUAAGGUUGGAGUGGUCCAGUAGGGGGCAGUCUAGUUGGGGAAGGGUAAGGUUGGAGUGGUCCAGCAGGGGGCGCUGUAGUUGGGGAAGGGUAAGGUUGGAGUGGUCCAGUAGGGGGGGCAGUCUAG